rnacentral:rRNA from 1 species
UACGUAGGGGGCAAGCGUUGUCCGGAUUUAUUGGGCGUAAAGAGCGUGUAGGCGGCCAGACAGGUCCGUUGUGAAAACUCGAGGCUCAACCUCGAGAUGUCGAUGGAAACCGUCUGGCUAGAGUCCGGAAGAGGAGUGUGGAAUUCCUGGUGUAGCGGUGAGAUGCGCAGAUAUCAGGAAGAACACCUAUGGCGAAGGCAGCACUCUGGGACGGUACUGACGCUGAGACGCGAAAGCGUGGGGAGCAAACAGG